AACGAGCGCUGGCGGCAGGCUUAACACAUGCAAGUCGAGCGCCCCGCAAGGGGAGCGGCAGACGGGUGAGUAACGCGUGGGAAUCUACCCAUCUCUACGGAAUAACGCAUGGAAACGUGUGCUAAUACCGUAUACGUCCUUCGGGAGAAAGAUUUAUCGGAGAUGGAUGAGCCCGCGUUGGAUUAGCUAGUUGGUGGGGUAAAGGCCUACCAAGGCGACGAUCCAUAGCUGGUCUGAGAGGAUGAUCAGCCACACUGGGACUGAGACACGGCCCAGACUCCUACGGGAGGGAGCAGUGGGGAAUAUUGGACAGUGGGCGCAAGCCUGAUCCCGCCAUGGCGCGUGAGUGAUGAAGGCCCUAGGGUUGUAAAGCUCUUUCACCGGUGAAGAUAAUGACGGUAACCGGAGAAGAAGCCCCGGCUAACUUCGUGCCAGCCGCCGCCGUAAGAC
rnacentral:rRNA from 1 species